rnacentral:rRNA from 1 species
GACGAACGCUGGCGGCGUGCUUAACACAUGCAAGUCGAACGGAAAGGCCCUGCUUGCAGGGUGCUCGAGUGGCGAACGGGUGAGUAACACGUGGGUGAUCUGCCCCUUACUUUGGGAUAAGCCUGGGAAACUGGGUCUAAUACUGGAUAGGACCAUGCUGUAGGUGGUGUGGUGGAAAGAUUAGUUUCGGUAAGGGAUGAGCUCGCGGCCUAUCAGCUUGUUGGUGGGGUAAUGGCCUACCAAGGCGUCGACGGGUAGCCGGCCUGAGAGGGUGGACGGCGACAUUGGGACUGAGAUACGGCCCAGACUCCUACGGGGGGCAGCAGUGGGGAGUAUUGUGCAAUGGGCGCAAGCCUGAUGCAGCGACGCCGCGUGGGGGGUGACGGCCUUCGGGUUGUAAACUCCGUUCAGCCAUGACGAGGCCCUUGUGGUGACGGUAGUGGUAGAAGAAGCACCGGCUAACUACGUG